rnacentral:lncRNA from 1 species
GCUCCUGCCAACCUAGCAGUUCACAAACAUGCCAAUGUGAGUAGAUCAAUAGGUACCGCUCCGGCGGGAAGGUAACGGCGCUCCAUGCAGUCAUGCUGGCCACAUGACCUUGGAGGUGUCUACGGACAAUGCCGGCUCUUUGGCUUAGAAAUGGAGAUGAGCACCAACCCCCAGAGUCAGACAUGACUGGACUUAACGUCAGGGGAAACCUUUACCUUUACCUUAGCAUAAUGCAACUCUUCAUUUUCUUCUAGGAAGACUUGGGCCUGCUAAAGACACUUAGUGUGUCGAUGUUCCAAGUAAUAUAUAGGAACAUUUGAACCUUUUAUCUCUUUUGCUAGUGAUAUCAGGGAAAGCUGGGAAAGCCCCUCCUGCCCAUGACAAACUGGUGUUCCUGUGAACCAGGACAAGUUCCAAAGUAGUUCAUUCUGUUCUUCAGAGGCAGCGCCAGUACAGCCCACAUAUUUAAUAGCUCUAAUGUCUUUGAUGCAUGAGAACCCAGGCUUAUACGUUUAUGGAGAAGAAGACAGAUCUCUCCUGGGAUUCCUUUGAAAAUAACAAGACAGACCUCAAAAUAUUACUUUUAAAGUGAAACAUUAGCAUUACUUUUGGUUAAAAGGGAUUCAUUGUCAUUUUUCAAAGUAAGUGCUGAAAUAUAAGUCUGUGUCAAUGUACUUAUGCCAUCGUCCCAGUUGUGCCUUUUCCCCUGCUUCACAGAAUCACAGAAUGGGAAGAGACCCCAAGGGUCAUGAUUUAUCCAGAUUUACCACAGAUUUAUCAAUCCUGGAAGGCCACGGAAUGGAAGUACCAGGAAAAGAGAAUGACAGCAAGGGGAGAAUGGCUGAUGCUGCCAUGGAAGUGUCAAGACUCACGGCACAAAUUAAGUCCCGGGACUGUGGUGUGAUCAGGGGCUCUUGACAGGGCUCUUCACAUUCUCUCGUAGACUACAGGGAGGUGAUAGACUGGUAAGAGAUAUUGCAUGACAUUGUGAGAUAGGGAGCAUCCCCUUGGUUUUACCACUUUUGUAUGGAACCUGCCAUGCUUCUCUGCAUCCUCUACAGAACACAUGGAGCCCCAAAGUGCACACUUGGAAAAGUUGCUUUUUUAGACUACUGCUCCCAGAGUCUGAGACCUUUUAUCGAGCUUAGGUGUAUCAUUGAAUCUCAAAUUAGGCCUCAGUUGUGUUACACAGUCGUUGUGCUGAAUGGUAAUGUUGUGCAACUGAACCAAGAUGCCAAAUGUGCAACUGAAUAAUACCAUAAUGAACAAGAUAUAGCCAUGUGUAAGGCACCUUUAUAUUCAAAUUGCUAAUGCAGUGUUUUCACAGCCUCGAUCUGAACACAGACAUUAUGCACGGGACAGGAAUCUCCAAUUGUUUCACAACUAACUUACGCACGAGUAGUGGUGUAAAUCCUGAACUGGACCAGAAUUUAAUUCAGGGACUUCUGGUCCUUAACAUGGGGUAAGCCGAUUUAGAUCUGCAACUCUCCAUUAAAUAAAACUGUGGAAUGCUCCAGAGUUUUGGUGAAUCCCCAGAAAAGCUCUGUGGAUAGUAGACUGGCUCCAAAAAGAACUGUUUGCUGUCCACCUGGGCCAGUAUUACAAUUCCCUUUUCUCAAAACAGGGAAAAGGGGGGCAGAUCAAGCCCCUUUUCAUAGAAUUAUAGAAUCAUACAGUUGUAAGAGACCUCAUGGGCCAUCUAGUCCAACCCCCUGCCAAGAAGCUGGAAAAUCGCAUUCAAAACACCUCCGACAGAUGGCCAUCCAACCUCUGCUUAAAAGCCUCCAAAGAAGGAGCUUGCUCCCUCCUCCCUAUGACUUCCCUUCACAUAUUUAUACAUGACCAUGAUGUCUCCUCUCAACCUUCUCUUCUGCAGGCUAAACAUGCCCAGUUCUUUAAGCCGCUCCUCAUAGGGCUUGUUAUCUAGACCCUUGAUCAUUUUAGUUGCCCUCCUCUGGACACAUUUCAGCAUGUCAAUUGUGGUGCUCUGUAUAACAUGGGAACUUUCCCAAAGCCCUUGAAACAUUUGGCAAAGUGAAGAUUCCUUUCUUCCACCCGCUUCUCUCUUUUUAAAAAGAAACAGAUUUAGAGAAAUCUGGCCAAAAACAUGCUGCUUAUUUGGGAGAUAUUAACAGUGGUCCCGCCUGGCCAACACCACUGGCAUUUCAAAAGUCUAGAAGUCUUCUCUUCAGGAACUAGUUUUAAAGUAUUAUGGAUUUUUAGGAAAUUGGCCAUCUGCUUGCUGUAGGGAUGUUAUGAAAACAUCUCUUUCCAGACAGAAUCUAGUCAAGGGUGUCUUCGAUUUUUUUGAUUUUGUUAAAGGUUUUGGUAGAUGCAAAUAGUCAGCAGGAACAGAGGUCUCAAUUACUGUGCUUGUACAGUGAGCAAUAUUCUGCCUUCUGGGGGAAACGUGUUAUGGAUGGCUUCCUAGGCAAACAUAUA